rnacentral:rRNA from 1 species
AUGAGAUGCCUAAGUUGGAACUGCCAGGGGCUUGGGAACCCCGAGGUAGUUCGAGAGCUUCGCAACUUUGUGAAGCAAGACGGGCCCGCGCUGCUCUUUGUUAUGGAGACGAAGAUCAGGGCAAAGAGGAUGGAAAGUUUGCAGUCUAAUCUGGGGUUUGUGAGGUGUUUUACGGUGGAUAGUUCGGGACUAAGUGGUGGUAUAGGCCUAUUU